rnacentral:lncRNA from 1 species
UCUUCUUCUUCUUCUUCUUCUCCUCCUCCUCCUCCUCCUCCUCCACCUCCUUCUUUUUCCUCCUCCUUCUCCUCGUCCCCCACCAGCUGCGCUUCAGUCUAUUUCUAUACGUUUCACAUACGCCUACAUGUAAUGUAUAGCAUACGAUUUCAUCAAUAAAUAAACGCAAGAAUAAAGACAUCCUACACAUGCCAGUUGGGAAUCGACAUUAGAUUCCAUGGUUAUUGUCAAAGUAAAUUAUCCAUACUCCUUUAAUGGUCGUUAUUUUCCGGUUUUGAUUUUCUUGGUUGGUCGCUAACAUAAGUUUAUACGCAUGUAGUUUCUGAAUGGCUGUCAUGGCGUAGUCUCUGUUUUCUUUAGUGUGGAACGUUCAGAAGAGAGAAUCCUAUAGCGUAACAGCAAUAGAGCGCCUCAGUGUAUUUACUCUACCAGCUAGAAAUAGCAGCCAAAUCUCUUCAUCUUUAGAAAGAAGAGGGAAACACUCUAAAAUGUAGUCCUUGAGCAGGGGUUCUCAAUUGUGGAUCAAUUUGGUUUAUAUAUAUUUCCAUGGAAUAAAAUUAAUGAAACUAAGUUUUAAAAAAUCAAACUGAGCAAAUGUAAUUCUUUCUAUUACACUGGGCAAAAAAUACAACAACUUUUUUCUGGUACCUGGAAUAUUUCAACGAAUUCUUAAGGGAUUUUGCCUACUAAAUUCAAAACUAACUUCAGUUUUUCUCUAUCAGGUCUAGUUUUAUGAUUCGACCUGAUAGAGUAAUAUUCUUGUGUGAAUAUAUAUAUAUAUAUAUAUAUAUAUAUAUAUAUAUAUAUAUGUGUGUGUGUGUGUGUGUGUGUGUGUGUGUGUGUGUGUGUGUGUGUGUGUGUGUGUGUGUGCGUGCGUGCGUGCGUGCGUGCGUGCGUGCGUGUGUGUGUGAGUUUGUGUGUGUGUAUGUAUAUAUAUAUGUAUAUAUAUGUGUAUGUGUGUUUGUGUGUGUGUAUGUUUGUGUGUGGGUGUGUAUGUAUUUGUUUGUGUGUAUGUGUGUGUAUGUAAUGUACGCAUUCAUAUUUAUCACGCUUAGUUUUUGCCGAGUAGGAUAUACUCUGCUGAUGAGGUGUCCUUAGACUGAUACUUUUCACCAGUUAACUUUCAAGACCAGAUUCAUUUUAUUUGCAUCGCCUAUACCAGGAAUGGACAACCUUUUCGAGCAUUGGAUCACAUUAUAUAUGACUCAUCAUAAGGUGGCUUGCACAAAUAAAAUAAAAUUCAGAGUAAUUUUUCGCUAAGGGAACCUCAGCCAAUUUCUCUACAUAAGACCAUACGUUUAAGAAUCUGUCUUAGACAUAAAGAAAGAGAUUAUGUUUUCUUCAGAGAAUAAGAUUUUUAUCUAUAAUUAAAAAAUUUGACACCUUGGUAUAAUAUUAUCACAGCUGACUGUGAUUAACACACGUUUCUAUCGUGAUACUUUAUAGAAUAAUUAAAUGUAAAAAUGAAUACUUGAAAAAAAGCCGGUGUCUUAUAUAAGAAUAUCUUUGUGUUCCGUGUAUGGAAGAAAAAAAUUUGCUAUUACAUAAUCCGUGUAUGAAAAUCUUUUUCAAAAUAUUGUUUAAAUCAUGUGCACAUUUUUAUAAUUUAACUAUUAGAUAAUUUUAUUGGUUACUUGUAAAUUGAAAGCUAAAUUUAAUAUCAAAAUAAACAUAACUAGUAAGAUCUGCUGCUAAUUUAUUCAUUUGACUAUUCAAGCAAAUUUAUUUUUUAAAAAUUAUUUCUUCACGAGAAUAAAAUAUGAACGUUUUCCUUUUCUGGAGCAAAAAAUUGUUCACAUGUAUGGUCUUCCUUUGUGAAAAUCAGACAUGAUUUAAAAUGCUGAAAACGCUAUCUACAACGAAGUGUUACAAAAUUCAUGGAGCAUUGUACUUAAUCAUUGUUAUAUAAGUGAAGUGGUUUAGUCGAAGUUUUAAGCUAUGUUACUGGAGCUGAGAUGUGAUAUCCUAAUUAAAAGGAAGUACUCUUUAAAAAAAGGGAAAUAGGAAUACAAAUGAACGUGACCCGACAAGUUAGGUGAGGUAUAACGUUUGAAAUACUGUGAAUAAAAAAUGAGCAGCCAUAGACAAGGAAAACAGUGCUACAAAAAAAAACAUACAAUGAUUAAGAUACUGUCUAAUAAAAUACAGACGAGAAACAUCGUUUUAUUAUUUGUCAUUGAUGUAAGUAGAAAUGUUUCUCUCGCAAAGUUUUAAUGAGAAACUUGGCUUCGUUCUAAUUUAUUUUACAACUUAACCAAUAUCUACAGAUAUUUGCGAUGCUGAAUAUUUUCAUUCUAGAUAACAUUUCGCAUUUAUACGUACUACUAAAUAUGGUGGCAAAUCUUGUAGCGGAGCACACUAUUUAGGGGUAGUUUUCUUUAGGUGGAGUUCCUUAAGACUGUAAUAAAAUGUUCGUUUUUAAAUUUUUGCCGAAUGAAUUCAUCCCUCUGAAGUUCAAUUAUUUCCAUUGGCAGUGCUUUUCGUGCUAUUUUUUCAACAACAGUAUUAAAAAGGUUUUCGAAAAGAUUAAAAUCAGCUUCUCUAGUUUUGAAGUCCUUGAAUCUGAUAUUCAGGUUUUCUUUCAACUCAUUUAAUUCCUCAGCAAAAUCAUUGUAUCCAGCUCCGCCGUGAUUGAUUACUGUAGGGAAACGGAGGACGUCAUCAGUCUUGAGCUGAUUUUUCCAAAUUUGAAGAUUUGUUUCAAAAGCUUUGGCACAAAAAUACAUCUUAUGAAUCAACUGAUUUUACUUUUGAAAUUUUAAAUUGAGAUUAAAAAAAAGUGCAAGGUCACGAUUCCAGCUAUCAUCUUUUAGCUCGUGAACAAGUUUAAACUUCAUUUCUAAGAAGUCGCAUAACUCUUCUCUGGGUAGCCUUAAGCAACUUCCCUUAACUUUGCCAGCUAAUUACACUGUAGUAAACCAGAUUACGAUAUUCUGAUUAAAGUUCUUUUAAAAACACCUCUUUAAAAUAGUGAUGAUUAAGAGCUUAUGAUUUUGUCAAAUUCAUGGUUGAAACAAUCAUAAAUGAAUCGUUGCAAAGUUGCUGCUUGUUAAAUUCAAAAAAAUGUUAAUUCAUCUUUUAAUUCGGAUAGAAAGACUAUCUUGGACCUAACCAUCGCUGGAGUCCCGUCUGUUGCUGAACCUUUCAAGCGGGAGAUUCAACUUAGUUGCUGCUUUCGUUGUAAAAAACUUAUUCAUAAAUCUUAUAUCCUACAACGGGUGGAGGCGCAAUGGCCCAGUGGUUAGGGCAGCGGACUCGCGGUCAUAGGAUCGCGGUUUCGAUUCCCAGACCGAGCGAAAACACCUAAAGCUUCCUGUUUCUGUUGUACCUGUAUUUCAAAGGGCCGGCCUUGUCACUCUCUGUGUCACGCUGAAUAUCCCCGAGAACUACGUUAAGGGUACACGUGUCUGUGGAGUGCUCAGCCACUUACACGUUAAUUUCACGAGCAGGCUGUUCCGUUGAUUCGGAUCAACCGGAACCCUCAUCGUCGUAACCGACGGAGUGCUUCUUCUCUGUUUUGCUUUCUAAUAUGUCCUUUACAUUUGUUGUACUUCUAAUCUUUUGAAGUUAAUGCCGCUUAACCUCAAGUUUUUUUAAAAGCAAACAUGUAUAUAUAACGUGGACGCGCAAUAGACCAGUGGUUAUGGCACCGGACUCGCGGUUUUGAUUCCCAGACCGAGCGUUGUGUGUGUUUAUUGAGCGAAAACACCUAAAAGCUCCACGAGGCUCCGGCGAUGGGUGGUGACGACUCCUGUGGUACUCUUUCGCCACAACUUUCUCUCACUCUCUCUUCCUGUUUCUUGACUAACGCUGCGAUGGACUGGCGUCCCGACCAGCUGGGGAGAACACAUACGCCACAGAAACCGGGAAACCGAGCCCAUGAGCCUGGCUAGGCUUGAGAAGGGCGACAUUUAUCGUUGUAUAUAUAACAUAUUAAACAUUCUGGUCUGUUUUUUUAUUAUUACUUCAACAAGAAGGCGGCGAGCUGGCAGAAACGUUAGCAUGUUGGUCGAAAUGCUUAGCGGUAUUUCGUCUGCCGUUACGUUCUGAGUUCAAACUCCGCCGAGGUCGACUUUGCCUUUCAUCCUUUCGGGGUCGAUAAAUUAAGUACCAGUUGCGUACUGAGGUCGAUGUAAUCGACUGUCUCCCUGCCCCCAAAUUUCGGGCCUUGUACCUAGAGUAGAAAAGAUUAUUACUUCAGCAAAGAAAUAAUCAUCAGUCCACUUUUUCUGGAAUUUUCUCAUUUCUUCGGAAAUCUUCCUGAUUUUAGAAGCCAAGAGCUGUGAUAUCUUCUUAUUUUCUAUUUUUUAUCGGUUUCAGUCAUUUGACUUCGGCCAUGCUGGGGCACCACCUUGAAGAAUCUCUUAGUUGAAUGAAUCGAACUUAGUACUUAUUUUUUUUAAAGCCUGGUAAAUCGAUCUCUUUUGCCGAACAGCUAGGUAACAGGAACAUAAACACACCAAUAACGGUUGUCAAGUGGUUGUCGGGACAAACACAGAUACGAAGACACACACACAUACUCACAUAUACGAUGGUCUUCUUUCAGUUUCCGUCUACCAAAUCCACUCACAAGGUUUUGGUCAGCUCGUGGCUAUAGUAGAAGACACUUGCCCAAAGUACCAUGCAGUGGGACUGAACCCGGAACCAUGUGGUUUUGAAGCAAACUUCUUACCACACAGUCGCGUCAACUUAUAUGUGUUCAAUUUUCACUGCUGAUGGUUAAGAUAAUUAAUCAUAACAAGUUGUUAUAAGAAGUGGAAACAGGAAAUUGAACAUUAAAUCAAUAAUUUUCAUUCGUUGUUAUAAUGUCUUCAGUAGAGAUGCCACUUUUAAAGCCUUACCCUCUUGAUUGCUUGAAUGGUUGUUAAUUAACUUUGCGACACUUUGAUAAAAACGUGGGUGUCCGACAAUUGCGUAUAUAUUUUAAUUUUUCUGACUGGUGUAUCAAUACAACUGGUAUUAAUAAGGUAGGCUAGUUGGGAAUUCAAUGGUUAUUCCCCUUUAACACCAGCUUCCUUAAACCUCUGAGUGAACAAGUGAAAAUGAAAAGAAAGAAAGAAAAUUUAAAUAAACGUUAUUCUACUUAUGAAAUUAGGCGUAAUCUUUAGAAAACCAAACGGGCCACAGUUUGCCUACAGCUGGUCUACACUGACCAAAGUAUUAUCUAAUUUUAUUUGAGUUAUUUUCCUUGCUCGAGAGAUAUUGUUCGUUUGUUAAUUGCUCCGAUAUUUUCAGUUGAUCGAAGUUUAUAAUUCCUUAUAUUAAAUAUGUAAAACCGUAUUGUGACAGACGUAAUACUUGUAGGUAGAGAUACAACGAACAGGAGGAAUCAAGCACAUGUCAUUUAAAUUAUAAUUGCUUUUCAAAAUGCAUAUUUGACUUUGGGCCAAUAUCAGGAGAUAAGCAGCUUGAUAAUUACGAUUGUUUUAGAUUCUUAUGUUUAAAAUAAAACAACAAACGAUUUAGUUGACAGUAGCUGUUUGCCAGCUAUUUAGAUAUUAAUCCUCGCUUUCUCCUCCAUUUCACCCCCCCCCCCCUCGCCUCUUCUUUUCAUAUCCAUCAUGACUCUCGGCAGUAGAUCAUUAUCAUUACCAACAGCAUUGUUUUCGUUUGUCGUUUUCUUUUUCUAAGUCAUUUUACCAAGUAAUUUUUUUUAAUUGCAUUUACUUAGUGAUUCUUUGAAAGCUAUGUCAGUUAGUAAGCUUUCAAAGCCAUGUUUCAUUAAUGAGGUUGUAAUAAUAUGGAAACACGGUUGGAAUCGUCUCCCUUACUAUCCGAAAAAAAAAACGAAAAAAAAAAUGGUAGCAAUUGGCUAAUGUAGUAUUCUUCACAUCACAUAAUCAUUUCUUGCUGGUUUUUCACAGCUCUGCAUUAAAUAUGUUGAUACUUUGUCUCAUGUUUCAAAUACAUAGGCAUUUUUUAUAUCUUAAGGAUGGGGGUUUGUUUCUAGACACAACUCAUCCAAAUUAAGCAGCUCUUGUGUAGAACAGAGGUUUCCAAACUGGAAUAAAUUUACCUCAGGAGGUAGAUUUCAUGAACCUCGAGGAUAAAUUUUGCCUAUUUAGGAAGUAAAUUAUGCCUACUCGGGGGUAAGUUUGCUGAUUCUGGAUUUAUAAGUAUGUAUUUUUCAUUUAUUUUUAUAAAUGUGAUGUUGAAAAAACAAUUUAAAAUAAGCUUAUUUUGAGAAAAAUUCUAAAUUCCACCCCCUUUUCUCUCUGUUUGGAUUGAAUAAACAUCUUAAUUACUGUGUUUCUACUAAUCAAAUAGUCUAAUUCACAAUUCUGCGUUUGGUUCUGGUAUUUGUUUACUCUUAGUUCAUAAAUAAGAGAAAUAAACAUUAUUAAAAGCUGUUUUUAUAAUUUAAAUUUACCAGUGUUUUUAAUUUCCUUUUUAUUGGUUGCUUUAUUAUAGUAAAACUAUAAACUCAAAUUACUGAACAAAACAGAGUCGUAGUGGUGAUAGUGGGAUAAAUUUGCUUUCAAAUCGAUGCCAGUGGGUAGAUGGAAGAAGAAAGUUUAGGAAUUCCUGGUAGAGGAUCUGUAUGUCAUACGAUUGCUGUCGCUUGCCUAUUUACAUAUCAAGUAACAACAGCUGUUUGUUACGUUGCUAUGAUAAUGUAAACGAUUCAUAUGAUUGCUUAUGCUGUAUUCUUUAGUAAUGAUUGUUUGUAACAUUGCUACUGGAAAGAGACAUUCUUUUGAAUCGAAGAGUUCUAUUGAAAUAAAGCUAUCACAACAGCUGUGUGUACUGCAAGAGAUUGAAUGAAAGUUACCAGAUAAAUUCAUUGCCACAUGUUAUUUCAUUUCCGCUUGAUAAUAGUUUCAGUAAUUUUAAUAUCAAAUAACAAAAGCCGAAUCAUACUGGGCCACAAUGUAAGAAUCGAAAAUCGUAUCAUGAGAACAACGAAGCCGCGAACAUCACAUUGGUAUGUCACUUUAAUUAGGAAAAAGAAAGAAACUAAAUGAAAAAAUGAUUCAUAAAUUAUAGACUGUCAUAACUUUAUACUGUCAAGUUAUACACCGUCAAAACUUUCUAUCGUCAAAUUAUACACCGUCAUAAAUUAUAGAAAGUCAUAAAUUAUACACCAUCAUAAAUUAUUUUUUUUAUUUAUUUAUGCGCCCUCUUCAAGCCUAGCCAGGCUCACGGACCCGGUUUCCUAGUUUCUGUGGCGUAUGUGUUCCCCCCAGCUGGACGGGAUGCCAGUGCAUCGCAGCGUUACUCAAGAAGCAGGAAGAGAGAGUGAGAGAAAGAUGGGGCGAAAGAGUACAACAGGGGUCGUCACCACCCCCUGCUGUAGCCUCGUGGAGCUUUUGGGUGUUUUCGCUCAAUAAACACACACAACGGCCGGUCUGGGAAUCGAAACCGUGAUCCUCCGACCGUGAGUCCGCUGCCCUAACCACUGGGCCAUUGCGCCUCCCAUCAUAAAUUAUACAACGCAUAAAUUAUACAACGUCAUAAAUCAUACAUCGUUAUAAGUUAUACAGUAUCACAGUUGAUCCGAUCAACAGAACAGCCUGCUUGUAAAUUUAACGUGCUGAGGACUCCACAGACACGCGUACCCUUAACGUAGUUCUCAUGGAUAUUCGGAGUGACACAGAAUGUGACAAGGCUGGCUCUUUGAAAUACAGGUACUACUCAUUUUUGCCAGCUGAGUGGACUACAGCAACGUGAAAUAAAAGUGCCUUGCUCAAGGGCACAAAUCGCCGCGAAUUGAACUUACGACCUUACAAUCAUGAGCCGAAUACGCUAGCUACGCGCCUUCAGAUAUUGUAAAUUACAAACGUCAUAUAUUAAAGAAACAAAUUAUAGAACGACAUAAAUGAUAUCGUAAAUUAUACAACGUCAUAAAUUAUAUGUAGAAUUAUACAAUGUCGUAAAUAAUAGUCAUAAAUUAUGGAACAUCACACAUUAUACAAAAUGUAAAAUUUACUACAAAAUAAAUUAUGCAAUGUUGUAAAUCAAUGUUUCCCCAAUGUGUGACCUGGCAAAAUUCAUUGUAGCCCCAAAGAAAUUUUGGAAUUAGGGGAUAGGCAAAGGCUCAAUAAAGAGAGUCACACAACUAAAAUUCUGUCAUUGUCUUUAACUUUUUAAAAGUCACUCGGGAAAUAUACGCAUUCACAUACACCAUAUACACAAUGCAUUUUCUAUAUCUUAAGUUCUGUCAUGACUGAAAGAAAUGGGAUUUACUUGACAAUUUGAUAUUUGACAUAUUUGACAUAUUUGACAAUUUGAUAUUUGACAUAUUUGACAUAUUUGACAAUUUGACAUAUUUUAAAAUUGGGACGAUACAGAGAAGAUUAGCAUGGCCCCUGCGCAAGGAUGAUACGCAAAUUCGCGAAGCGUUCCAUAUUUUAUAGGCGCAGGAGUGGCUGUGUGGUAAGUAGCUUGCUUACCAGCCACAUGGUUCCGGGUUCAGUCCCACUGCGUGGCACCUUGGGCAAAUGUCUUCUACUAUAGCCUCAGGUCGACCAAAGCUUUAUGAGUGGAUUUGGUGGACGGAAACUGAAAGAAGCCCGUCGUAUAUAUGUAUAUAUAUAUAUAUGUAUGUGUGUGUAUAUGUUGUGUGUCUGUGUUUGUCCCCCCCAACAUCGCUUGACAACCGAUGCUGGUAUGAUUAGGUCCCCGUAACAUAGCGGUUCGGCAAAAUAGCCCGAUAGAAUAAGUACUAGGCUUACAAAGAAUAAGUCCUGGGAUCGAUUUGAUUCGACUAAAGGCGGUGCUCCAGCAUGGUCGCAGUCACAUGACUGAAACAAGUAAAGUAAAGUGAAGUAUAAUUUAUCAUUGAUGAAUAAAGUAUUAAGCUGUCAUUGGACAGUCUUGUAUGAAUUAAAUACUAUGUUACUGUUUUGAAGUUCAUACAUCUGGUGACAAUCUCUAAGGGUUAUUGCCUGUGUUGCUUCAUUGAACUUUGCAAGUGUUAUAAUAUUUCCGAGUGGGAAGCAGCUUGAAGAAGAAAUCCAAACUGCCAAAUAUGGCAUAUUCUACCAUUCAGAUAUAUUUGAGAAGCUGAAUUUACUGAACAAACUGCUGCAAGGUAAAAGUAUAAAUCUUUUAGUUUAAGAAGAGGCUACUAGUGCUUUACUUGGAAAACUUAAUCUAUUCAGGAUAAAUAUUGAGCAUAAAAAGUUAAUGCAUUUUGCAACUCUUACCCCUAUUGAGGAGGAGCUGCAAGAGGAUGAUAUUUUAGUGUACUUUGAGCACUUGAAGAAAUUGUACAAUGAUAAGGAAAUUAGAUUCAAAGCUCUACUGGAAAUGUACAUUCCAAAUUGGAUGGUAGACCCAUUUGGGACAAAUGCAGCUGAUGUUGUUCAAGCUAAAUUUUAUCAUCAGCUCAAAAACUUAUAAACAAAAACUUAUAAACAAAAACUUAUAAACUUACUAUAAAAUCUUCAUUGAUUUGACAGUAAGUAAAAUUAUAUUUCAUUGUCUUUCUUAAUCUUUUUCCAAGCUGUGUCGGGGUUUAGCCGAGUGUCUUUCUUACUACCAAAAACUUGCAAUGACUUAUAAAAUGUAAGCAGAGGUGAUAUUCAUUUGUUUCUAACAACCAUGGACACUUGAUAUCAAAAUAUUGGGAAAUUGCAUCAGCCACAAGGAUAUCACUGAAUAAAUACAGUAAAAAGGAAAUUUUGUUUUUAUUAUUUUGCAAAAGGAUUUUAUUUUUGCGCUGAAAAAAUGGAUAAUUGUAUUUGAAGUUAUUAAGUUUUCUAGAUGUUAGAAGUUAUGGUUGUUUUAUUGAACACGCAAAAUAUUUAUUUUUGUUUUUGUGAAAUAUAAUAGAGAAUAAAUGAGCAAUUAAUGGACACUGAUAUUUUUAUGGAGUUUAUUAUAUUAAAGGUAGAAAACACUUCAUUUUUGAAAAAGAAUUUUUUUUAAUGUUUAUUUAUGAAUUUUUGUUCAGAAAUUGUUUUCAUUACAAAUUAUCAAUGUUUAAAUAUUCAUAGAAAUAAAUUUUAUGAUAAUAAAACUAAUUUAGAGCAAUUAAUAUUUUAAAUGUUGUUAUUAUUCAAUAAAUGUUACAAAUUGUAUUUUUAAUAAAGGUUUUUAUUUUUUGAAAACAGACCUGUCUCUACUAUUAACCAUUUGUUACAAAACUGAGGCACAUGUUUUACUAAUAAUGUCCAGGGGAUGUAGAAAAGAUGUACAAAAGAUUCGAAGGGAGAAGGAGUCAUAAACUAAAAAAGUUGGAAACCACUGUGUAACUUAUACAAAGCUAUAAAUUAUACGUAGCAUUAUAGAAUGUAGUAAAUUGUAAGUCAUAAAUAAAACAACGUCUUAAAUUACACAAUGUUAAAUUAUACGACGUCAUAAGUUAUAUAUCACAAAUUAUGCCACGUCAUAAAUUAUACAACGUCAUAAAUUACAUGUCAUAAAUUAUAAAAUAUCAUAUAGUAUACAACGCCAUAUAUUAUACAAUGUCAUAAAUUAUACAAAAUCACAGAUAAUAACACCAUCGUAAAUUCUAUAACGUAGUAAUUAUAAUGCAACACCACAAAUUCUACAAUUCACAAAGUAAGGUUUAUGACCAUAAGAUACCGAUCUUGGAACUAGUUUGACGAGAUUAUAUUAAGUUCAGUGUUUUCUCCAAAACCUUAGCGCAGCAAUGCUACAGUAUACAAGCCAAAGACUAUUUCGUCUCAAGGACUCAAGUCUAUCAAACAUUCCAAUUUAAUAUAUUAACGCCGUGCAAAUACUUUCCAUUGAACAGCAGCUAGCUGGUGCAUUAACGGUCAAAAAUUAGGUCUGUAUAUCUAUCUAGGUCUGUAAAUUACGAACUUUAAUACUAACGGCGCUUGUCACACUUUCAGUUCCUUUGUCAAAAACUCAAUUGUAACAAGACAACAAAAGAAUCUCGUCCUGCUAGAAAUAGUCUCAAAUUUGCUUCUAAUCACACUCGGCUGUUUUACAACAGAAAAAAAAACACUUUCUAUAAUGUAGACCUGGAUAUACAAUGCCGGCCGAAAAUGUCGGAAGUAUCACAGCUUGAGCGCCUUCAAUAAUAGAGUUGUAAAUCUAUUAUUAUGAGGAGAUAAACAGAAACAAUAAAGACCCAGUUAUGAUUGCCAAUUUCAUAAUUAUCCAUUCCAAAUAUAUCUGUUAUACAACUGCAGCCGAGUAAAACUUUACUAAUGACCAAUUAGUAAUCGCCUAUGUACACAUUAACUUCUUCAUUCUAAGCGAUUUCUCACAAAAGCGUUAAUGAAAGAAAAGGCUACUCUAUAAGUGACAGAUAAUACACUGAUAAGAAAAUAGUUGAAAAAAAAAAAAAUCAAAACGCCAUUUGCUGAAUUCGACUGAAUUCACUGAAUAUUUUGGAAAAUUUAUUCAGCAAUGUCUCUGUUGUUUAUUAUCAUCAGCAGCUGAUCAAUUACCAGGACAAUGGCUUAAUGAAUAAAAGACGAAUUAGAGUCUGUGAUUUAUAUUAAUAGUUCACAAUAGUUCAAUACGAAUUCGAGGGAAUUAUAACAAGGAAUCCCUUGAAGUUGAUUGGCAAAUAUACGAGUUAUUGAUGUGUUUAGCCUCAGAUCAGUUUCUGAUGAAUAUUCUAUUAUAAACUUGAGCAAAUUUUGAAUUCUCUUAAUUGCGCACAAAAUAGAAUAUUAUAUAAUGUACUCUUCAAUGAUUUCGUUCUGUCAAAUGUAUCCCCACUACGUCUAAGCAGUGCAUCUAAUUAAUUGUUAAUUUAUAACUGAUAUUCAUUAAUUCGACACAUUUAAGUAUGAAUAUUAAAGCACGAAUUAAUCUUUUCUUGAAUUUCAAUUAUGAACAUUUUAGGUAAAAGCAAAAUCCAUAAAUCAUUUAAAUCGUUUGUUAUUCUUUUUUACAUAAAUAAUAUGCAUAAAAUUUUGUGAAUCUAGCCUGAAGUGUAAUAUUCCUGUUAGCCAUUUUCAGCUGAGAUCGAUCUGUCGGCAGCACAAUAGCUUAAUGAAUUCUUAGAGUUUCUGUAAGUUAUAUUAAUAGUUCACAAAAGUUCAAUACCAAUUCGAAGAAUUAUAAUAGAAUAUCAUUCGAGGUUGAUUAGUAAAUAUAUCACUUGCAGAUAUGUUUUGCUCGUAAACAAUUGCUAUUGGAGCAGACCUAUGAUCUAGGAUCACUGUCUUUUUUUUUUGUUUUUAGAUAUAGUAUAUCUAAGACUACAUUGUCUAAUAUGUCCUGCCUUUUUUAAGGUGGUGGAACAUUAUUUGAGGGAGACUAUGCUACUAUUUUAACAGGUCUAAUUACUGAGUAAAGUCUCUCACAUCAACAAGUAUUUUCUUCUCUUUCUUCUUUAUUUUUACAUCUUCCAGUUAUUGGUCUGUGGCCAUGCUGGGAUACCGUGGAAUACCGCUAUGAAGUGUUUUAGCCGAACAAAUCGAUCUCAAUAUUUAUUUUUUAAGUUUGGUACUUAUUCUACCAGCUUCUUUUGCUGAACCGUUAAGUAACGGGGAGGUCAACAAACCAACUCCGAUCGACCAUCGGUGUGGAGGACAAACACAAAUAUACAUACUUAUAUCUAUCUAUCUAUCUAUCUAUCUAUCUAUCUAUCUAUCUAUCUAUCUAUCUAUCUAUCUAUCUAUCUAUCUAUUAUUUAAUAAACACAAUAUAUGUGUUAAAAGUACUAUCUGGCAUGCUCUCAGCACAUGAAACUAAUAGUAGCUCAUAAAAACAUAUAUACUGUGUUUAUUAAAUAAUAUUUAUCUCUUACCAGAUGGAAUAUUUUUCUUUUUGUUGAUCUUACCAUCAUGGAACAGAACACUAUAUAUAUAUAUAUGUAUAUAUAUAAAACUUACUUGGAAGAGGAUGCGUGGCGUUCAGUCAUAUAAUAAUAUAAAUAAUAUAUAUAUAUAUAUAUGUGCAUAUAUACACACAUAUAUGUACAUACUAACAUCUAUAUGUAUAUAUAUCUAUGCAUAUGUGGGCGCAAGACGUCAUGAUUUGUGUACAACAACAAAAAUACGAAGUACGAGUACAUGGAAUAUGAACUAUUUUUUCGUACAACGAAAGACAAAUGGAAAACAAGACAAACAACAUAAAGAACGACCCUUCAUCAGUUGUUGGCUGUUUUUCUACUCUCGUAUUUCGAGCAUUUAACAACAAUAUACGCUUUCGAUAAAACAGUUGCUCCCGCAAAGCAAAUUAAAUAAAAUUUGGGACUUUGCGGAGGGUCAAAAUUGGUAACACAAACAGGAAAGGCUGCUAAGCCUAGACGAGGCGGUGGUGGCGAACGCGUAAAUCAAGCUAGGACAUGAGACAGACAAGAACAUGUCUUCCUUGUUCCAGCUACAACGGAGAGAAAGAAACACGUUAGAAGAAAGAUGGCCGAUGGUCACGUGGGAGCCAUGUAAGCAAGGGAGGAGGAGUGAGAGAGAGAGAGAGAGAGAGAGAGUGACAGUGUAACCGGAUAGAAUAGUGGGAUAAGAGGAGGUAAAAGAAUAAGAGAGAGAAAGAGAGAAAAAUGAAAGAGUAAAAAGAUCGUAUAGAGUGCGCAUCAGAAUUAUUAGGAUAAAACUUACUUGGAAGAGGAUGCGUGCCUUUCAGUCAUAAUAACAUAAAUAAUAUAUAUAUAUAUAUAUAUAUAUAUAUACAUACAUACAUACAUACAUACAUACAUACAUACAUACAUACAUAUAUAUAUAUAUAUAUAAAUAUUUAUAUAUAUAUCCAUAUAUACAUACGUAUAUGUACAUCUAUCUAUCUAUCUAUCUAUCUAUCUAUCUAUCUAUCUAUCUAUCUAUCUAUCUAUCUAUCUAUCUAAAUAUAUAUAUAUAUAUCUGCGGGUGCUUCAGAGUGCAUACGUAGAUACAUAUAUACGUAUGUUUCCACUAAUACAUCUUUUGGACAUAAACUUUCCUUAUAUACAACUCUACUGACUUUCUCAUUGUUGAUGCCGUUCCCUAUAUAGGCACAAAUGUAAUUUUUUCCCAAAUAAACUGCACUUAUUAUUCAAGGCAUCGAUGAAGCUAUAAGGUGUUAUUUAGGCACUCAACUAUGAGUGAAACACAUCUUUUGGCAAAAACAGCUUUAAGCUAAUGAAGUUCCUAAAAUAAUAAUUUAUUCUUUUGUUAUCUCUUUAUAUAUAUAUAUAUAUAUAUAUAUAUAUAUAUAUAUAUAUAUAUAUAUAUAUAUACCACAGGUUAACUGGAAGAAAUGCCGCUAAGCAUUUUAACCGACGAGCUAACGAUUCUACCUGCUCACCGCCUUAGGUAUACUGGAAUAUUAUUCAUAUACAUAAUAAACACAACAGACUAAAAGCCUUGAUCAUGCUUCCGUUUUUGACAUAGCGUUAUUAGAACUAUUCUUUUGAACAUAACCAUACACAAAUUAUAACUAUACUUGCGUAUUAGUUUCUAGCCUCAAUUAAUGUAGAAGGUAGAAGACCUCUAACAUAAUCUGUUUUAUAUUGCUCUAGCUAUGAUGUUUUAGCUUUAAUUUUACUUGCCUUGAUACAUGAUCUUUUCUGUUUAUAGCGGUGUAUAUCAUAACUUUAACCUAAUAUUAACGAAUGUUAAGUCGUAAGCUGUGUGAAAUAAUGGCUCAUGUCUUUAAGCAGUUCACUACACUACUAAAGUAAUAAGGAAAAGUAAAGAAAAUAUGGAUAACUCGUAGCUCGAGUUAGAUUCCUUUUCAACGGAAAAAAAAAACUACCUCCAAAUUCGAGCACAGCUGUGGGGACGCGAUCUGCUCCAGUUUUCGCGAACUCAGUAUUGUGAUACUUGGAAGAAAACCUAUAUCAAAAAAUUGAAGAAAACUACGGCAUGACCCUUAGAAGGCAUAUAGAGGACACAAUUUGGACCAAAUCCCUAGAAAAUUUGGAAUAAUUCAGCACCAUCCUCAACAAUCUACACCCUAGUCUCAAAUUCACCAGAGAAAUGAGCAAUACACAAUUACCAUUUCUUGACAUAACGGUAAUUAAAAGCAACACCACAAUCACAACUGAUAUUUAUUCCAAAAGCACAGAUACACAACAAUACCUACAUUUCAAGUCAUGCCACCCAACACACACAAAACGCAUCAUCCCGUACUGUCUAGCCAAGAAAAUUUGAACUAUAGUAGAUAAUCCAAAUACCCGGAACAUACGACUUAUAGAAUUCAAAGGAUUUCUGCUCAAGCAAAAAUACCCUCCCCUAAUUAUAGAAAAUAGCAUACAAUGAGCAAAAGAGAUACCUAUAGAAGAAGUUAGGGCAACACAAGAAAGACGAACUCAUUAACAGAACACAAUACCAUUUCUAGUAACACACAAUCCGCAUCACCAAAAUAUUUUAAACAUCAUCAAAACAAAUUUGUCAGUUAUCAAAGUGAAAAAUAAAAAAAAAACAUAAUAACUAAUCAGACACUUAUCUUAAUCAAAAGCAACCACAUAACUUAAAGAAACUUAUUAAGAAUGGCAAAAUUCAACAUGUGCAAACAGGAUAAAACAUUCACAGAAAUCCAAGUGUAAUGAUAACAGAUGUGGAACGUGUCAAUAGAUGCAUACUGGUAGAUCCACUAGAACAAAAAAUGGAUAGGAGGACCCUUCCACCGAGUGAAUACGAGAAAGGAUGGAAGGAUGUGAUGAGAAAGGUGGGUGUUAGUAACCCAGCUUAAUCAUUGGUGAAAGGAAAAGAAAGUCGCUGGGCCUUAUAGGCAGCCGGGUUCGAUCUUUUUGAACUUUUAUUCGUUUUCUUUCUUUGUUUUCGUUAAAAAAAACGUUCUAGUUUAAGGUAAAAAUUAAUCGUUAUACUCUUUUACUUGUUUCAGUCAUUUGACUGCGGCCAUGCUGGAGCACCGCCUUUAGUCGAGCAACUCGACCCCAGGACUUAUUCUUUGUAAGCCUAGUACUUAUUCCAUCGGUCUCUUUUGCCGAGCCGCUAAGUUACGGGGACGUAAACACACCAGCAUCGGUUGUCAAGCAAUGCUAGGGGGACAAACACAGACACACAAACAUAUACACACACACUUAUAUAUAUAUACAUAUAUACGACAGGCUUCUUUCAGUUUCCGUCUACCAAAUCCACUCACAAGGCAUUGGUCGGCCCGAGGCUACAGUAGAAGACACUUGCCCAAGGUGCCACGCAGUGGGACUGAACCCGGAACCAUGUGGUUAGUAAGCAAGCUACUUACCACAUAGCCACUCCUGCGCCUAUAUAAAAUAUUUUUAAGUAAAUUUUUAACAUGAUGCUCAUUCGAACCCAUUUAACAUUUUUGUAUUUGUUUGUCUUGUAAUGUCCUUUUCUAUGUACGAUCAGUUUGUUCAUAAUAAAGGUUUUACUCAAAUAUCGCAAGUGAAUAGUUUAGCAAUAUUGUGACAUUUCUAUCAAUUUGCAUUUUUGACAUCAUAAUUGGAUUAAACAGCUCUGGAUAAUACUUUUAUUUUAAACUAGCAGUAUCGCCGGCGUUGCUCGGGUUUGUAAGGGAAAUAACUAUAUAAGCAUUUUUAGUGAGUUAUAGCAAAAAAAUGCAUUAAAAUGGAAAAAAUGAUGGUAAAUUUUUUUUUAAAUCGUAGACUCAUCGUAGACGCUUUCUUAGCCAUUUCUGUUUUGGUGUCUUCAAGCCAUGAAGUCGUUGUUCUAAAAGAACGCUGGUCUCUUUGACAACGCUUUACGACGUUGAUUUCCUUACACUCCCUUCCCCACAGCUUCACGAGGGAGGGAAGAAGGGGGAGAAGCAAACAGGUGCAGGUGUGACCAUGGACGCCAACUCCGCCACCAUCGACACACGAAAAAUUAUGCAUUAAAAUGGAAUAAAAAAUGAUGUUAAAUUAUUUUAAAAAUCGUAGACUCAUCGUAGACGCGCGCUAAUACCCAGACGGGCUCGAUAUGAAUCACGACUAUAAGAUACCCGAAUUUGGUUAAACUGCACCGCAAAAUGUGGGAGUAGUUAGGAAUCUAAAUCGAAGGGGACAGACACUCACACAACUACAGUUUUAUAUAUAUAGAUAUACAUACAUACCUAGUUGGCAUAGGGUACGUUUAAAAACUAAAGUUAUUUUAAUUCGAACUCACACAUAAACACGUACGUACACACACCAGAAUCGCUGCCAUGCUGACACAAACACAAAUUCAUUUAUACGCACACAUCAACACACCAACUGGAACAGAGUUACACAAACACAUAGCAAGGCUUUAAUUUUAAAUAAAAUACAACAAGCAUAGAUAUGUGUGCAUGGAAGAGAGAGAGAGAGAGAGAGAGAGAGAGAGAGAGAGAGAGAGAGAGAGAGAGAAUGGUAGACAAACAGACAUAGAAAAAAAAGGAAAGAAGGGAGUGAAUAUGAGUACGUAUGUAUAUGUCUAUGCUUGUGUGUAUGCUUAGGUACAUUUGAGUGUGUGUAAAGAGAUUUCUGGUGAUGUUCGGGUAUUAUACCAAGGUAUAAUAUAUAUAUAUAUAUAUAUAUAUAUAUAUAUAUAUAUAUAUAUAUAUAGAGAGAGAGAGAGAGAGAGAGAGAGAGAGAGAGUGGUUGUAUACUGUCAACUUAACGUGAUAGUCCCGUAAGGGAAUUACACCACCGCUAUUUAGCCCUAGGAAGCAUCGACGCUUCCUGUCGGCCUUGACACAUUUCCUGUGUCCUUAUAUAUUUAUGAAGGGGAGACAAACACCCCCAACAGCUAGGCCUGCAUCUAGAUACAUGCAUGUUUCAGGGUCUUGCCCAUCAUCAGUCUAGAUGCUUCCUAGGGCUAAAUAGCGGUGGUGUAAUUCCCUUACACGUUAAGUUGAAAGUAUACAACCACUCUAUCGCUUCACCACCGCACAUAUCUCUAUGAGAUAUUUAGAAAUUUAUAUAUAUAUAUAUAUAUAUAUAUAUAUAUAUAUAUAUAUAUAUAUAUAUAUAUAUAUAUAUAUAUAUAUAUAUAUAUAUUAAUAAUAAAAUAUUAGGGAAUAAUACAACAGUAGUGCCGCCUCCGUCCAAGGGGGUGUCGGAGUUGUCCCUGGCGUGGAGCAGCAGACGAUAUGUAAACCACCUGAAGAAUGACUGUAACUCGAAAAUUUUAAGAAUUGAACAGCCAUGAAACGAUCGUAGUGUUAUAUUAAUUAUCUUUUUUAAUAAUUUUGAUAUAUAUUUAAAUAAUAUAAAUUAAUUAAUCUUAUGUAUUGGCUUAAGUUUUUCAUUGUAUGAUUUGCCUAAUAGUGGUUUUAUCUCUAAUUUAAUAUAAUAUAUAUAUAUAUAUAUAUAUAUAUAUAUAUAUAUAUAUAUAUAUAUAUAUAUAUAUUAUACCAAGGUAUAAUAUAUAGAGAGGAAGGGAGAUUUCAAGUUGUUUCUCCGUUCUUUCUAGUUCUUUGUGCUGCCACUGUUCUUGUCUAAUGAAUUUUAUUUACAUAUAAUAGAAAACAUACAUCCAUGCAUUCACAUAUACCAUCAUAUUUGCAUACAAACAUGUGCACACAUACAUGCAUACAUAAACAUAUUCAUAGAUAAGAAGAGAUCGUAUUUGCUUAUCAUCAUCAUUAAUAUUUUUCAUUCUUCUUGUAUUUCGUUUUUGGAUUUGGUUUGCAAGAUUCUUUAUAUGAGUUCGUGUGUUGCAGCAUAUUCUGUUGUGUCUGGGGAGAGUCAUUUUCUUUUUGUGCCUUAUAAUGUAACACACUCACCGGUAAAGUUUCCACUUAUUUCUUAUUUUUAUUUUCCUAAAAUUUUCAUUGCGUCUUUUCAAUAGUCUUGACUUUCAACCUUUUCAAGACUAUUGAAAAGGUUGCAAGACGCAAUGAAAAUUUUAGGAAAAUAAAAAUAAGAAAUAAGUGGAAAUUUUACCGGUGAGUGUGUUACAUUAUAAGGCACAAAAAGAAAAUGACUCUCCCCAGACACAACAGAAUAUUCUUCUUGUAGUUUUUCUUAUUAUUAUUAGGUAUAUAUAGUUGUACAAUAUUAUUGUACUCGACCGUUUUCAUUUGGUGCUCUAGAGAAUGGUGUUUUAUUAUGGUCGCAGCUCAAUGUUUGUAACAUGUCUAAGAAAGAAGAAAAGAAAAAGGCAAUAAAUUUAAUGGUCGUAAGAACAGUCAUUUCUUAGAUUGUACCGAGGCGCGGGACCUAAGAGACACAAUAAACUGGAAUUUGUGAUCUUCAAGCCUUUCCAAAGAGCAUCUUUUUAAAAGUGUCUUCAAAUGAAAACAGCUGGCUAAUGAAAAUCAUACUCGGGUUUGCACUUUUUAAUACAAAUUUACUUGAACUUGCUGUAAACGACAAUGGUAAAUUAUAUAAUUAAUUUGUUCUGUAAUUAUUGUUGACGUGAUUGAUAGCACAUCAAAGUAGCGAGCUGGCAGAAACGUUAGCACGCCGGGCGAAAUGCCUAGCGGUAUUUCGUCUGCCGUUACGUUGUGAGUUCAAAUUCCGCCGAGGUCGACUUUGCCUUUCAUCCUUUCGGAGUCGAUUAAAUAAGUACCAGUUACGCACUGGGGUCGGUAUAAUCGACUUAAUCCGUUUGUCUGUCCUUGUUUGUCCUUUCUGUGUUUAGCCCCUUGUGGGUAAUAAAGAAAUAGGUAUUUCGUCUGCCGCUGCGUUCUGAGUUCAAAUUGCCUUUUAUCCUUUCGGAGUCGAUUAAAUAAGUACCAGUUACGAACUGGGGUCGAUCUAAUCGACUUAAUCCGUUUGUCUGUCCUUGUUUGUCCCCUCUAUGUUUAGCCCCUUGUGAGCAAUAAAGAAAUAAGAAUCGUUAGCUUGCCGAACAGAAUGUUUAUCGGCAUUUCUUCCGGAUCUAAGCGUUUUGAACUCAAAUGCCACUGAGGUCAACUAUGCUUUUCAUUCUUCGAAGUCAAUGAAAUAAAAUACCAGUGAAAUACUGGGGCUGAUGUGGCCAACUUGCCUCCUCACCGGAACUGCUGGUCUUGUGUAAAAAUAAAUUAGAAAGAAGUAUUGAUAUUAUGCAUUAAAUUAGUAACUUAGAUUAUUUUAUCCCACGAUAGAACCUCGACGUGGUCACCCGGAUGCUAAAAAUCACGAUCAGAUCUCCUUUCAAUCAUACCCUCCUAUUUUAAACUAUAACAAUUAAACAAUCUAAUACGGCUAAACAUUCACAUCCUUUCGGGGUCGAUAAAUUAAGUUACGCACUGGGGUCGAUGUAAUCGACUUAAUCCGUUUGUCUGUCCUUGUUUCUCCCCUCUGUGUUUAGCCCCUUGUGGGUAGUAAAGUAAUAGGUAUUUCAUCUCUCGUUACGUUCUGAGUUCAAAUUCCGCUGAGGUCGACUUUGCUUUUUAUCCUUUCGGGGUCGAUAAAAUAAGGACCAGUUACGCACUGGAGUCGAUGUAAUCGACUUAAUCCCUUUGUCUGUCCUUGUUUGUCCCCUCUAUGUUUAGUUCCUUAUGGGCAAUAAAGAAAUAAAUAUGAGCAGCAAAACCCGCCUCGACUUAACUUAAUCUAGAAUGGAUUGUCCACCUUGUGAUAGCACACCGCCAGAUGUACACCACAUGUUUAACUAAUAUGGAUGGAAGCACUCCGUCAGUUACGACGACGAGGGUUCCGGUUGAUCCGAAUCAACGGAACAGCCUGCUCGUGAAAUUAACGUGUAAGUGGCUGAGCACUCCACAGACACGUGUACCCUUAACGUAGUUCUCGGGGAUAUUCAGCGCGACACAGAGAGUGACAAGGCCGGCCCUUUGAAAUAGAAGUACAACAGAAACAGGAAGUAAGAGUGAGAGAAAGUUGUGGUGAAAGAGUACGGCAGGGAUCACCACCAUCCCCUGCCGGAGCCUCGUGGAGCUUUAGGUGUUUUCGCUCAAUAAACACUCGGUCUGGGAAUCGAAACCGCGAUCCUAUGACCGCGAGUCCGCUGCCCUAACCACUGGGCCAUUGCGCCUCCAACGUUUAACUAAUAAGAACAGUAACGACAUAAAAGAUUGGAAAUCUUGGAUGUUUAAAACAGAAAUCUGAAUUAUGGGUAAUUUGCCCUACGCCAAUAAAAAGUUAUAGUUGAGAUAUGUUUAUUCGUAUAUUCAGCCAAAUCAAGAACUACAACUCUAACGAGAAAAUUGGCAAAUGUGGUCUUUAAAAAACGGAAAUGAGAAAGAAGUGAAUAGAUUUCAAGAUGGAGGCAGGAAGUAUUUCGUCACAGUGAAUAACAGCUAUCGUUCAAUCACAUUGAAACAUUCAAAACAGAUCAGAAAAUUACAUUUUUGGAAGAUAUAUUCAAUUUAGAAAUAUGAGAGGGAUGACCACUAUGUGGACAACCCUUAUGCUAGAAGUAGAUCCACUAUGGCCUUACCACUAAGAAAUGUUCUCAAGAAAAGCAAUAAAUUUUUAUUGCUUUUCUUUUUUCUUUUGUCUUGCCCGAUUACGUUUUGGUUGUUUGCUAAAUUUUUCUUGAGAACAUUUCUUAGUGGUAAGACCAUAGCGGAUCUACCUCUAGCAUAAGGGUUGUCCGCAUAGUGGUCAUCCCUCUCUUAUGUAGAUAAUACAAUUUUACUGAACCUUCAGAUUUUUAUAUGCUAGACCACUGGUGGGAAAUUGAUGUUAAUUAAAUUAAUAUCAAAUUUCUCAUCCUCAUUUUAAAUUUAUAUAUAUAUAUAUAUAUAUAUAUAUAUAUAUAUAUAUAUAUUAUAUUAUAUUAAAUUAGAGAUAAAACCACUAUUAGGCAAAUCAAACAAUGAAAAACAUAAGCCAAUACAUAAAAUUAAUUAAUUUAUAAUAUUUUAGAUAUAUAUCAAGAGUAUUAAAAGCUUAAUAUAUAUAUAUAUAAAUAUAUAAUUGAGUAGUUGAAUGAAUUAUCUUAUUAUGGAUAAUUCGGUUAACCGAUACCUGGGUAGCAAAUUCACGUCAGAAAAACACGGUUGAAGCUACAUGCCUAGGGCAGAGAUCACGUGCUAUCGUGUGGAAAUUUGUGUGUGUUUUUGAAUACAAAUAAAUGAAAGAAUGGAGUUGAACGACGAAUUAACAAAAUUCCUUUAUAAAGCAAUUUUGUUAAUUCGUCGUUCAACUCCAUUCUUUCAUUUAUAUAUAUAUAUAUAUAUAUAUAUAUAUAUAUAUAUAUAUAUAUAUAUAUAUAUAACUGAGUUAUCUAUUCAUACACGACAGAAGCCCAAACGCAAACCUGGAAGUACGUAUAACACUACUACUGGAUAGCAUAGGGUGAAAUAUGAAAGUGAACGAGUUUUAUGCUGCACUCUACUACAUUCUUAACAGAAUAUACCAUAGCUACACACACGGGUUUCUAUAUACGGACAUAAUUCAUUCCAGAGGCUGUUCGUUAACCAAAUGUUUCGUGAUUGAAAUAUAUAUAAUUUCGAAUAAUCUCUCUCUCUCUCUGUCUCUUUGUCUCUCUCACCCUCUCCCUCUCUUUCUUUCUCUCUCUCUCUCGCACGCGCGCGCACACACACACACACACACACACACACAUACUCUUUUACUAUUUUACUUGUUUCAGUCAUUUGACUGCGGCCAUGCUGGAGCACCACCUUUAGUCGAGCAAGUCGACCCCGGGACUUAUUCUUUGUAAGCCCAGUACUUAGUCUAUCGGUCUCUUUUGCCGAACCGCUAAGUUACGGGGAGGUAAACACACCAGCAUCUGUUGUCAAGCAAUGUUGGGGGGACAAACACACAUAUAUAUAUACAUAUAUACGACAGGCUUCUUUCAGUUUCCGUCUACCAAAUCCACUCACAAGGCAUUGGUCAGCCUGAGGCUAUAGCAGAAGACACUUGCCCAAGAUGCCACGCAGUGGGACUGAACCCAGAACCAUGUGGUUGGUUAGCAAGCUACUUACCACACAGCCACUCCUGCGCCAUAUAUAUAUAUGUAGUGAAAAAUAGUGUGUGUGUAUGUGUGUGCGUGCGUGUGUGCGUGUGAUAUCUAUUCCUAAUGAAUUGUAUAUUUUAGGAGAAAAGAAAUUACGUAAUUGAAAAGGUUCCUUUCAAUCUUGAAUGACAAGAGCAAAGCAGUACAACACUCGCCAGUUUAAUACAUGAAAAAGAUGUUAGUCCUAGAUUAAUCAUAUAGUAAUAGCUGUAUAUGUUUUAGGGGUUAAUUUUAUAGUUUGAAUUGAACAAUACAACCACCGCUGCAGUUCAAUCAUUUAACAUCCGUCUCUAGUAUUUUGUAUAAGACAACAAUUGUUUGAAAUUCAUUUGAAAUAACUAUUUUUUUUCCAUCCUACACACGAUUGUUGAAUCAUUCUCUUAAAACUAUUUACAUAUCUAGUUUCUAGUUGUUUAUACCGAAGUAUUUCCCUUUCUACUUGAAAAAGAAUAUCACAUUUCCUGCAAUGGUAAAAUUACGCUGUUGUUGAAAGCUAUGCAAUUUCAAACAUUUAUUCAAGCAUGUAAAUAUGGUAAAGUGCUGUAAUUUGUCAAUUAUAUCAUGACAAUGUGAAUUCAAAUGUUCACGGAAAAUUUCAAUUACGUUUUAAAACCUCUUCGUCAUAGCAACCACAAUUCCGUGUGUGUAUGUAUGUGUGUGUGUGUGUGUGUGUGUGUGUUGUGUGUGUUGUGUGUAUGUGUGUGUGCACGCAUGUGCGUGUGUGCGGGUGUGUGGGUGUGCGUCUGUGUGUUUGUGUCCUUGGAUAUGACUGCAAAAUGCAUCCGGCAGUGGUGUCCCUGAUUCCGGUGUUCCAGGCUUUUGAGGAGUCGGAACUACCUCUUAGCCACUGCUGUUUCCAUGUCUACUCUGACCUGGAAUAAUAGCACCUGUCAGGAUCCCAACUAUGCGUUAAUUAGAACAUUAGGUCUUUGCUACCUGUGCAUAUUAAGACUGUAUCCGGUAGGCUCUGCAGAAGAAGCCUUUAUGUUUAAAACGUAGGGGAAGGUGGCUGCAGGAACGAACUGAGGACUGCAGAGAGCAGGAUUAGGCAAGUAUAACAUCUUGGUCAUCUACUGUAUCUGUGUCCAUCCAAUGUGACAUAAGAUUUUAAUGUCACUAAAAGCACAGCAUCCCCUUUACAACGAAACUCUGGCUGCCAGCGAGUUUAAGGACCGCAUCACCUAUAUGCUGGGACCUAACACCCACAAAAGAAAGCGCCGCCAUAAAGGUCUUUUGUUUGUCCCACUCUUCUCACUUAGCGUCAAAACCUGCGUGGGAACGGUCUUCUUUAGAUGAGAGAUAUGCAUUUCACACAGUACCGUAGGUAUAAGAGGAUUAUUCAAUAGACCUAACUUAAGGGUCUCGUUCAACUCUAUGCCUAGUGCAAGAUAUUAGUGAAUGCUCCAUAUCCCCCGCACAGAGGCAGUAUGCUCGUGUAAGAUUAACCGUGAGUGUCAAUCCAACACUGAUGCCGUAGUCUAUGAAGCAGAAGUGGUGUCCAGCAGUAGCAGCAACGAAAACAUACAUACGAACAUAUGUUGGAACAACAACAGAAGACACCUUUAAGGCCUGGCUAAAUAACCACAAGUCUUCUUUUAGGAUCCCAGAGAGGCACAACGUUACAACAUUAUCCAGCUAUAUAUGGAAACGUCAUAUAAAAUUAACUGGAAACUGUUGGAAGAACCUGGGUCAUAUUUCAACGGAAACAUAUGGUGCAAAAUUAUGCUUUGUAGAGAGGACAAUGAUCCUAAAAAAAUUUGUAAGAUCUUGAAUUCAAAAAGCAAAAUUUUGUACCGAAGCCCCCGUGACUGAAAAUUCGUUUUGGAAACAUGGUCAUCCCCGUUUGCGGACUACACAACGGAAAACAUAUACAGAUUGACCCAUUUCAACCACAUCUGGAAUCGUUCAAGAGGAAAUAACUCUUCUUCUCUUAGAAAGGGUUCUUUUCGUUUCACCAAGACUAGUAUACCGUAAAUCCUCGAGUAUAAUCCGCAUUUUCCCCCAAAAUUUAAAGGUCAAAAUACCUAGUGCGUACUAUAUACGAGGUUAAAAAUGAAAAAUAUUUUCUAAGCAAUGUCCGAGUCUCUAUUUGUUGUCCGGCAAUGUUUAUUCAAACGCAUUUUAUGAUGUCGGGCGCGAAAAUACCUUAAGCUGACCCUGAAAGCAAUGAGGUCAUAAAAGAAUCAUCAAUAACUUGCAGCAAGCAGCAUUUAUUAAAAUAAAAGUAUUCAGAACACAGAAUAACAUGUAACAAAAACAAUUUGCAAGCAUUUACAUUCCCAUUAUUGUAUUACGCAUGCGCGGAAGUGUUUGUUCGACUUGGUGGUACUAGCUUAAUUAUGCACGACUCAAGUUAGAGAAGUGGUGCAUAUUAUGCACAAGGUUUAGGUUUUUCAGAGGUACAGCCCCCUAAAAAUCCCCUGCGUAUAAUACUCGAGGAUUUACGGUAUUUACCUUUAUUAGUAAAAAGGCUAUAUACGUUAGUCCAGCAGUUCUGAUGAGUCGCCUAUAUUGCCAAGUGCAAUAGUAGACGUGAAAUCAGUGGUGACUCUUUUACCUGGACUUAUGAUCGUACAUUAACAUCUGCUGGGCAGCUGACUUCUUCAACAGUAGAUGACUUGUUCCUUGUCCUAACGAACAAUAUCAGGUUUGAAAUGUUUGCUCAGAAUUGCUGUUUUUAUUGGAAUGCUCUACAAGUAUUCCUUGUUUUUAAAGGUAUGAACGCAUGCUGAUUCUGACAUGCAUUUGAUCUAUACGUCAGGGCAAUCCUUCAUGGGGAUAGCCUUGUAAGUAGAUUUCGUCGCUAUAUCAUGCCUCAGGGGUAGAUAGUAUCUCGUAGACAUACAUUUUGGGGCAGCUGAUAAUGAUGUGGAUGAUAUCUUCCACACUAGUAUAACAUUGGCCGACAUUUUCUAUCACAACAUGGACGUAUGGUGGUAUCUUUCUCUCUCUUGUUUAUCAGGUAUUUAGUAGAUAUCACAGGUCCAGGAGAGACUACUCUUCCUGUUAUUAUCCUCUAGCUUACGACAUAUGUACCAAUGCAUUGCUUUUUGCUGGUAUGCAUGUAAACGUACGUAAUAGACAUUCAAACCUGCCGAAUUUACCUGUUUCUUCGUAGGUCCGUGUGGGUAGUGGUGAGGGGAUAUCCACGAAUGAUGAAGUGACGAGCCAUUAGUUGAGACUGAGUUUCAAAGUCAAGGUUGUCACUGCAGAGCCUGCGCAUACGGAGGAAUUGGGAGUAGGGGAUGGAGAACUUGGUGUAGGUAUGGUGGGAGGCGGAGAAGUUAAGGUAUGAGUGUAAGUCUGUGUGUUUGUGGUGGAUGGAGAUAGUGAGAGUGGAGUUGUGUAUGUUGACUGAAAUGUCGAGAAAGACGGAAGUGUUGGAGAUGGUGCAGGAGAAUUCGAGAGCAGGAUGGAAAGAUUGGACAAAAGAGAGGAAGGAAUCUAGUUGUUUGCAGGAGAGCAGGGUCGCGGCGAUAUAAUCAUCAAUAUAAAGACCGUAUAGUUAGGGAGUGAGACCAGUGAAUCUUGAAAAUAUUUGGGCCUCAACGUAGCCAACGAACAGGUUCGCAUAGUUGGGGCCCAUUUUCGUUCCCAUGGCCAUUCCCGAGAAAUGCUGCUAAAACUCCCCCGCGAACAAGCAGUUGAGGGAGAGAACAAGUUUGGCCAGACGAAGAAGUGUGGACGUGUCAUGUUGGGGGUCGGGUCGAAGGUCUAGGAAGUGUUUGAGGGCAAGAAGUUUUCAUGGUGUGGUAUAACCGUAUAUAGACACUUGAUAUCUAAAUGUAGAGAAAUUUAGAGGGGCAUAUUAAGAUAACUUAGUGUUCGGGAAAUCUGUUUCGAUAAUGUAAGUUCCAAAUAUGUACUGCUGUUGAUAUGUACGAAUACGACGUUUGAAGAUAGUGCUCCAGCAGAGCCGAAGCAAUUAUAACGCAAGACUUUUUUUCUUUAAAUCAUGGAAAUUCACUUCAGUUGAAAUUAAAUCCAGUUCUUGAAAAUAUUUGAAACAUCAAAUACUGUAACUUAAUUAUAUAAAAUCCCAUUUUACCUAAUUAUUUUUAAUUAACUUCCCAAUGGGACGCUACAAUGCUGUAUUACUUAAAAGCAAAAUAUUCUUGGGCAAUUUUUCAAAACUUACUUUGUGUGUUAUUUUUUAGUAUUGUUUCUAAAAUUUUCUGUUGCUUAACCCUCAUGUUCACACUGGUCAAACAAAUGUAUUCCAGACAUGGCCAUCCCGUCUGAAACUAACUUAUCUAAUCCGAAAUUUCAGUGUUAGGCUAUCAAAUAAAUUCGUUGGUUUUUUUUUUCUUACCAGUUAUUUUAGUCCCUUCCAAUAUUGGAUGGAUGGAAGCACUCCGUCGGUUACGACGACGAGGGUUCCGGUUGAUGCGAAUCAACGGAACAGCCUGCUCGUGAAAUUAACGUGUAAGUGGCUGAGCACUCCACAGACACAUGCACCCUUAACGUAGUUCUCGGGGAUAUUCAGCGUGACACAGAGAGUGACAAGGCCGGCCCCUUGAAAUACAGGUACAACAGAAACAGGAAGAAAGAGUGAGAGAAAGUUGUGGUGAAAGAGUACAGCAGGGAUCACCACCAUCCCCUGCCGGAGCCUCGUGGAGCUUUUAGGUGUUUUCGCUCAAUAAACACUCACAACGCCCGGUCUGGGAAUCGAAACUGCGAUCCUAUGACCGCGAGUCCGCUGCCCUAACCACUGGGCCAUUGCGCCUCCACCUUCCAAUAUUAUUUGAAUGAACACGAAAAAUAUUUCUAUCGCAGUGUUUUUAUGGUAUUUUACGACUCUAUUCUUCGUCUACAAUUUUUGUUUAUCGUUUUAGAAAUCUGAAUAAAUUUUGCCUUUUUUUUAGGCUUAUGAUGAUCGAAUGCCUAGCUAAAGAUAAAAAAAACCCAACGAAAUCAUCCAAUAAAAAGGACUUGAUUUUAGAGAGAUUUGAUAGCUAUUUCUACCCUGUCGUGCAUCCAGGUCGUAGGCUCCUCUUGUUUUAAAUCUGUUCUAUAAAUAUAUGGUUGUUAUUGCUUUGUUGUUUAACUCCAGGCCUGUCCUAAUUGAGUAGUUCUAUGAUCGAAGGCAUUUCAACCAUCUUUUUACAAAUAUAUAGGGCUAUAUUAGCCAAUGUAUCCCUUACUUUCUAAAGACAGUAGAGCGUGAUUUUAGGAAAAGUUGGCUGCCAUUUACAAGAAAAUCGGAGACAAUACAGUCUUCUUCGUUAGCUCAUCUAAGCAUGGUUGUCUCAAAUGUUUAUUUCUUAUCAACCAAAAUUACAAUUGGGAUGUUUGCUAUAUUCUCUGACAAUUCUGGAAUUUUGUUCAAAAUCUGAAGCAACUACAGCCACAGUGUAGAAGAGUCAUUGAAUAAAGCUGCUCAGUUAACUUCAAAUUUGAAUUUAUCUCACGAGGUGUCAAAAUUUUCAUCGCACAACUACAUGGUCACUAAUAAUUGUAUUUUUUUAUUAGGUCAUCUUUAUAAAAAAAAAACAUCAAUGCAGAUCCGGCUGUUGAUUGAUAUAUUUCUUAUGGUCAUACUGGUAAGAUAUUAAUAAUAUAUUGGCGUAUUCAAUCUGACAUUUUGUCGCACAUGUGAAACAAUAGCUUAACAUUUAUAUUUAGAAAAAGGAAACACGCAUAGAAUUUUAAUUUAAUGAUUCUCUUUCCCUUCUAUAUUUCAGGUUAUAUAACAGGCAUCAUGGUGAAAUACCGAAUUACUGCAUUCAGGCGACAGAAUUCUUCAAAUAACUUACAAAAUAUAUUCAAGAAGAAUCCGUUUGGAUAUAACUAUAUUCGAUAAGAAGAAAUAGAUUAAUUUAUCAGUGAAUACUUCACAAUGAAAGAACAUACAAAUUUAUCUUCAAAUUUUACUUUGAUAGAUAAACCGAAUCAGAUCCUUGAGAUUGCUGGAACUUUACAUAUAUAUGCGUUGCCCGUCCUAAUAGCCUUUGGAAUCCCAAGCAAUUUGCUGUCUCUGGUUGUUUUCACAUGUAGCACAGCCAUGAAUAAGCUUCCAUCCAGUACAUAUAUGGCAGCACUUGCUCUAUCAGAUUCAGGCUUUCUUUCAAUUCUCUUAUGCAUCUGGCUGCAACAAAUGAAAAUACAAGAAUAUGUCACACAGUUGUGGUGUCAAGUAAUUGUUUUUGGUGCGUAUAUAUUUGGCUUUUUGUCGGUUUGGUUCACAGUUUUAUUUACAAUAGAACGAUACAAAGUAAUAUGCUAUCCCUUGAAAGCAACACAGAUUUGUUCUAAACGGAGGGCUCGAUUAUCUACUCUUAUAAUCUGUAUAAUCGCCAUGUUUCUGUAUUUUUCCAGUUUUUGGACGACCAUCAAUCACCAAGGAGAAUGCACAUUUCGUGAAGAACUGUUCAUAUUACUUACAAUAAUAACUUACGUCGAUACUAUAAUUACGUUUUUAAUACCAUUCUUAGCCAUUGUUUUUAUGAAUAUAAGAAUAAUCUUCGCUGUGCGCGCGUUAAAAAAGCGCAUCAAUUGGCUACAGGAAUCUCAGCCUCACGAAAAGAUCCAAAAUUUGUUGUCAAAAACACAAAUGAAGCUGACCAAGUCGUUGGUAAUCGUUUCAAGCGUUUUCUUAAUGUUAGUCCUUCCCAGCCAUUUUACGAGAUUUUAUUUUCUAAUUUUCACCCAUUUUUUAUCUUCUGAUUUAAAAUUAACUUUGCAAACUGCUCAGUACAUCUUGCAAUUUCCUUACUAUUUAACAUUUGGCAUCAACUUCCUUCUUUACACUUGUACAAGUUAUAUGUUCCGACAAGGUCUUUUGGAAAUUUAUCGAAAUAUUAAAGAGAAAGUUCGAUCGAUAAAGUUUAAAUGAAUUUGCGGAGGAAUACAAAAUAUCGUCAUUUUUUAAUUAUUUUUCAAGAAACAAGCUGCUAAUAUAAUCGACCAUAUGUGUACAUUAACUGUUUACUUUUUUAAAUUAAAAUUUGUGUCACUAUUAUUGCCUAGUCCAAGAUGUAUUUUAUGGAUAUAGUGACAGCACAACAAUAAAUCCGAUUAUUCACUAUAUACCCAUACACCUGUAUAUCUAUCUAUCUGUCUAUUUAUCUAUCUAUCUAUCUAUCUAUCUAUCUAUCUAUCUAUCUAUCUAUCUAUCUAUCUAUCUAUCUAUCUAUUAGUCUGCCUGUCUUUUUGUCUGUCUGUCUGUCUGUAUGUAUGUAUGUAUGUAUGUAUGUAUGUAUGUAUGUAUGUAUGUAUGUAUACACACACAUGUGUGUAUACAUAUAAGCACAAAAUGUUGCUUAAAACACACACACACACACAUAUAUAUAUAUAUUUAUAUAUAUAUAUAUUACUCCUUUGUCGUCCUUCUGUGUAAUGUUUUAAUCCAUACACACACGUGUGUGUGUGUAUGUAUGUAUGUAUGUAUGUAUGUAUGUAUGUAUGCAUGUAUGUAUGUAUGUAUGUAUGUAUGUAUGUAUGUAUGUAUGUUUGUAUGUAUGUAUGUAUAUUCAUGGGUUUAAAAAGCUGCACAAAAGACGACAAACGAGUACAAGGAAGAUCACACACAAGAAUUUGGAUAUACUCAUCCCACGUCAGUUUUCGUUCAAGAAUCAUAACAAUUUCGC